UACGUAGGGGGCAAGCGUUGUCCGGAUUCAUUGGGCGUAAAGAGCGUGUAGGCGGCCAGGUAGGUCGGUUGUGAAAACUGGAGGCUCAACCUUCAGAGGUCGACCGAAACCAUCUGGCUAGAGUCCGGGAGAGGAUGAGUCGGAAUUCCUGGUGUAGCGGUGAAAUGCGCAGAUAUCAGGAGGAACACCGGUGGCGAAGGCGGCGUUCUGGACUGCUACUGACACUGAGGAACGAAAGCCAGGGGAGCAAACGGG
rnacentral:rRNA from 1 species